UGGAAGAGAGGUGACCAUGCCUGAGGCAGUGACCAUGGAGACAGGGAAGAGUGAGAAUGUGGAUGUUAACAAUGAGAUCAAAUCUGUAAGACUUAGAGAUUCCGUGAGCCAUAAGAGGGAAUGUGUGGGCUGAAGGCAGCAGUAGGGCGAUGGAAAGCCUGGCCAAGGGCUUCUAGAACUUGAAGCUCACCAUUUUUGGAUGACAUUCUGUGAACGAAGUGUUCUCUAUGAGAUACUAAGAGCAAUAUAGGGUAAUCACUGGUGACAGAAACAUCUGCUCAUGCAGGUUCAUGUCAAAGUCCAGGGUUGAAGGAGAACCCCUCAUCCCAGCUCUCUCCCUCUGUCAAGAUGCUUUUCCUUGGAAUCCAGCUGCCAUGUUGUGAGAAAGCCCAGGGCACCGCAGAGACCACAUGUGGGUGUUCCAGCCAACAGCCCCAGCUAGGUCCCCAUGGAGAGCCCACACCAACCACCAGAUAUGAGGGUUCAGACUCCAGCCCACAGUCUUCAAGUCUUCCAGCUGCAGUCCCAGACAUCAUGAAACCAUUCUGCUGUGACCUGUCAGAAUUUCUGACCCCAGAAACUGUUGGAGAUAAUAAAUAAUUACUGUUGUUUUAAUCCUCUAAAUUUUGGGGUGAUUUGUUAUGCAGCAAUCGAUAACUAAUACAAAGGAUCACUAAGGUGAC
rnacentral:lncRNA from 1 species